rnacentral:lncRNA from 1 species
UAAUCAUCAAAUGCAUCUUGUAACUCCUUAAUGUAAUCUGAGAUGUAUUAGAAAUUUGAUACACCUCAUCUUCAUCCCCAUAACCCCUGAGACAAAGAUUUGCAACUUCUUUGGUCGGCUCAUAUUCGAAUCCGGAUUCUUCUUCAGCACUCCCUGUCAUAAGCUGCCCAUGGCCCUUUCCACUGCUCCUUCUUUUCUUUCUUUUGGUAACCGACAUUCUGGCUUUCCAUAUGUCCGGGUUGUUACAACAUUCAUAGCAUUAUAAUUGAUGACUCUUUGUUAGCGUCCGCCUCCGCCCAUCAUCCUUUUUCUCCUCUCCAUUUCUCUUACAUGAAUCGUUUAAAUUAUGAGUGAUAAGAGCCAUUUUUUCACAAUCUCCUUCAACCUUGACGAUUCUCUUCUUGAUUUUGGAUUUGAAAUUCUCUAAGUUGUUCUUUUUCUUUCCUCAUCAUCUUGGAUAUGCGGUUUUUAGUGAGCGUCAUGAUCAUAAGAGAACCCGAAAGCUCUCAGAGCUAUUAGUGUUGAGAUCUUUUGCUUCUUGAAUUGCGGUGACUUUAGCUUUCCAUGCCUUCCGGUAGUGGAAUCUCAAAAUUUUUCUCACCUCCUCUUUUUUCUCACCUCUCAUUGUUAGGAUAAAUCUUCCCAGAGCUUUUUAGCCAUUAAUAAUAUCAGUAAAUCUUGUGAACAUUUCGGUGAUGGAUUUAUUUGUUUCAUUCUAAAUAAUUCAUAAUUAUGGAACUAAGAUAUUGAUUUAGACUCUUAACCUUACUAGUUCCUAUCGGAGUUCAACUUCAAGUCUAUGCCCAAAUUUCUUUUGCUGAUUCACCAACGUUGAGAUUCUAUUGUACUCAUUUGGGUUCUAAGGAAUGCCAAUAUCAUAUAUUCUAGCCUUAGAGUUUGAAUUACAAACUUUUUUAAGUCAUUUUCACAUCCCAAGUGGAUUCGGGUUUAGGAGUGUCCACCCCUUCAAUUUUUUGAUGGUUGGCGUUUUAGCCCUUUAAACGAUAAUUCUCCAUACUUCAAUAAUCUCAGAUUGAACAUAGAUUCCUCAUUCUAUUCUUCCAGUAAUUAUAAUUUUUCCUUAACGGUGGCCUAUUUGUAGAUUGAACCCUCAUCGUAGAGUUUCCAAAAUUGGUUUCAUGGAUCUCUUCCUAGGAUGUUAAGCCUUAAAAUAGGAUUUAGGCUCUUAUCCAAGUUUUGGUCUAAUAGCAAACCUGCCAAGGGGGGUAAAUUGGUUUGUUUAAAUAUAUUAGUACAUUAAAGUUAAUUGACAUUAAUCUAAUCUUAAUAUAAACCAAUACAAUGUUGAAUCAAUAAUUAUAAUAAGAAGAAAGCACACCAGUUUACCGAGGUUCGACUCCACACUGUGAUCUACGGUCCUCACCAAGACCUGCCGCAAAUCUUCUUCCAUUCCCUAUUUGUAAUCUGGCAACUACAAGGUGGGGGGGGCUGAUUUUCUAAGUGCCUCAUCACUUUUUACAACCAAGUGAUUUGUCCAAGCUCCAUCAAACUUCCUAGUGUUUUUGCUUACAAGAGGAAACACUCAAACUCUUAAGUGUUUGGCUUUUUACAAGAGAACCACUCAAAAACUCUCACCACUGUUUUUUGUCCAGCUACCCAAACUUACAAUGGUAUAGAUGUUAUGGUGAUACAAAGUGAAAACACACUCUCUUUAAAGAGUAGAUAGGAGUGGAAUCACACAAUGAAUGUACUAAAGAGAAAUGAAGAUUUUGUUUCUAAGAGCACUUACCUUUUUGCUUUUUAGAUCUCUUCGAGUCAAAGCUUUUUGGGGAUUAGGAAUAUUUAUUUUCCUUAAUCUAUUAGGAAGUUUCCUUAUCUUAGUAUUUUUAUAAAGAGGUUCAUGUUGACCAUAUUGAUUUUCUCCUUAUUCGCCUUUUUAGUAGUUCCUUAUUUAGUCUUAGGUUAUAUUAUAUAUUGAGUGUAUAUGUGAUUAAUAAAAUUAAGCCUUUCUAAAUUUCUAUUUGGUUAUCUAGAGCACAUAUAACCCUACCCUCACUCGCCUUUAACAGCAGCUCCAACCUAAACCCAACAGCGCACCAAAAACGCAGCCACCACGCCCACCUCUGUCGCAGCCAACAACCAGCCCCCGUGUCAUCCAUCAGCCACCCCACCGCGCGCCUCUGUCCAAACAGCCCAGUCCCGCACAGCCCUUACGCAGCCACCCCUUUGCAGCAGCAGCCACCCCGUGCGCCUAGCAGUCACCCAGCCCUGCUCGCCACAGCCCCCGUAGCCAUGCAGCCCACCCCUGCGCAGCCAACAACCAGCAACCACCCCGUGCAGCCCAUCGCCACCCAGCCCGUGCACCCGUGCAACCCCAGCCCUGCGCAGCAGCAGCCAGCAGCCACCUCCCCACCCCGUUGCAGCCCAUCAGCCACCCCUGCGCAGCCUCUGUCCAAACAGCCCAGUCCUGCACAGCCCUUACGCAGCCACCUCUGUGCAGCCGCAGCCACCCCGUGCAGCCCAGCAGUCACCCAGCCUG